GCCACACACCACUCAUUUUCACAGAGCCGGUCACGGCGACGGAGCCACGGCGGAGACUGAUCGAGAUUCGCAUUUUCUAUCAUGGCAUCGUCAUCCUACUACCUCCGUCGCCGCUCCGCCGCCUCCCUCCUCCUCCGCGCUCUCUCUCAGUCUCAGUCUCACUCUCAUCCUCCGGCGCGUCAAUUCCACCUCCUCGAGAACCCUAACCUUCUCUCUCCUCACGUCCCUGAUCUCACUCGGAGCAGGAGCAGCAGUGCCUACUCGUUUGCUCCGACUCGCACUCUCACUCUCACUCCCUCUCUGUGUUUGGAUUUGGAUCAACUCGCCGGAGUUGACUCGGCGGCGACUCCGUCGGCGGUUUUGAAUUCCGGCGCUGCUGAAGGGUCGCUGCUGCACCUGCGUCCCAUUCAGGACUUGAUUUCAGUGCUCGAUUGGUUCCAUCAGCUCACUGGUUUACCAUGGUGGCUAGUUAUAGUUUCCUCCAGUUUGGCAAUGAGAAUUGCAUUGCUCCCCAUACUCAUUGUGCAACUCAAAAGGUUGAAAAGGAUUGAACCAUUUCUUCCCAGAUUGCCUCCUCCCGGGUCAUCUUGCUACUUAGCAAAGAGUUACUUUCGUCGAAUUUCUCUGUUUGAAAAGAGGAGGAGGGAAAUAGGAUGUCCCUCAUUUUUAUGGCUAAUUGCAAUCCCCAUUGUUCGGGCUCUGUGCUUUUCCCUCUGGUUCAGAAGUAUUCGAGAGAUGUCACUCAGUAACCAUCCAGGGUUUGAUUGUGGUGGCACUUUAUGGUUCCAAAAUUUGACCGAAUUGCCUCGUGAUGUUUUAAGCUGCAUCUUCCCUUUAAUGAUUGCUGGUUUGCAUUAUAGCUAUAUUCAGAAUUACUUUAAGCCAUCUUCAGGAAGGAAGUUCAUGUUUGGCUUAUUAUCUGAAGAAGAAUUUAAGUUCCAAUUGAAAGUUUUGACGCUGCCUAUCUACUUGUUUUGCUAUUUUGUUCCUCAGGGAUGUCUAGUCUAUUGGGUCACAAGUAAUUCACUCAAUAUUAUUCAGGCAUUAGCUCUGGCUGAUCCUCGUGUAUGUGCAAAGUUGGGGUUGCCAGACAAGAAUCAUAGUAAAGAGACUUCGAGUUGUGAGGAGUUGGAUAAUUCUAGACUAUCACCCUUGGUCUCUCCUAUGAAAUCAAAAAAGAUAUCUCCGCAGAUCCCAUCCCCUAGAGAUCUGAGUAAUCUUUCAAUCAAACUCUUAUCAGAAGGACAUAAAGAAAGAGCACUACAUUUGCUAAAAAUUGCUCUUGAAAAGGAUCCUGAAUAUAUAAGAGCAUUAAUUCUUAUGGGUCAGACUCUAUUGCAAAAGAAAUUGAAUGCAGAAGCAACCGAGUACUUUGAGCGUGCUAUAACAAAGAUCUUUAUUGCUGGUCAUCCGACAAAAGUAGAGGACAUUGAUAAUCUAAUUGUUGCAUCUCAGUGGGCUGGUAGCGCCUACAUACGACAGGGAAAAAUGGAGGAAGGGAUUGUACACCUUGAAAGAAUUGCACAGUUGGAAGAGCCAAAUGAACCAAAGAGCAAAGCUCAUUAUUUUGAUGGGUUGUUAAUGCUGGCAAGUGCUCUAUCAAAUGUGGGUCGCAAGGAUGAAGCUUUAAAGCAUCUGCGCUUGGCUGCUGCUUCUAAUCCUGCUUACAAGGAAUACUUGGAACAAUGUAAAAAUAUGGAUGACAGUGUUGUCAGUGGUAAUAGGAAAGUCCAGCAAGACAGAAGAAAAUUGGGCAACAAGAAGAAAGACAAGAAAAAGAAGAAUUGCUAGCGUGUUAGUAACAUCGUGCCUGUAUAGUCGUAGAAGGGUUGUUGCUUGAUGAUCGAGUGCAAUUGAUUAAUAUUGUAAGGUGACUGUAUGAGCUUCCUCUUGCUCAAGAGUUUGGCUCUGAAACUUUUGCAUGAACUUCUGUUAAAAGUAAGUACAUACAACAAAUAGAACAGGGGAGAAAUACUAAAAUGGAAUCAUGUAUGGGAAUACCCAUAUCCCAGCCUCAGGCAACCACUGUGAUUCUGUUGGCAACAAGGUCCAUGCAACGCGGUACAAUGCAAUUUGAUUUUCUACAGUCUUUCGAAUGCAAAAUCAAUCCAAGCCAUGCCUUUUUACAUAGUUCACAACCUCCAGCAGCUCGAACACUGCACUUCUUUACAUGGACAAAUAGCUUUUUA